rnacentral:tRNA from 1 species
GCCCCAGUAGCCCAAUGGCAGAGGCAGUGGACUUAAAAUCCAUUCAGUGUCGGUUCGAGUCCGACCUGGGGUACCA